AUAUCAGAAUACUGUAUGGAUCUGGGUCCAGACUGAUCCAGGUCCAGACUGAUCCAGGUCCAGACUGAUCCGAGUCCAGACUGAUCCAGGUCCAGACUGAUCCGAGUCCAGACUGAUCCAGGUCCAGACUGAUCUGAGUCCAGACUGAUCCAGGUCCAGACUGAUCCAGGUCCAAACUGAUCCGAGUCCAGACUGAUCCGGGUCCAGACUGAUAUGAGUCCAAACUGAUCCGAGUCCAGACUGAUCCAGGUCCAGACUCAUCCAGGUCCAGACUGAUCCGUGUCCAGACUGAUCCGAGUCCAGACUGAUCCGAGUCCAGACUGAUCCAGGUCCAAACUGAUCCAGGUCCAUACUGAUCCGAGUCCAGACUGAUCCAGGUCCAGACUGAUCCAGGUCCAGACUGAUCCAGGUCCAGACUGAUCCAGGUCCAGACUGAUCCGAGUCCAGACUGAUCCGGGUCCAGACUGAUCUGAGUCCAGACUGAUCCAGGCCCAGACUGAUGCAGGUCCAGACUGAUCCGGGUCCAAACUGAUCCAGGUCCAGACUGAUCCAGGUCCAGACUGAUCCGAAUCCAGACUGAUCUGAGUCCAGACUGAUCCAGGUCCAGACUUAUCUGAGUCCAGACUGAUCCAGGUCCAGACUGAUCCAGGUCCAGACUGAUCCGAGUCCAGACUGAUCCAGGUCCAGACUGAUCCAGGUCCAGACUGAUCCGGGUCCAGACUGAUCCGAGUCCAGACUUAUCCAGGUCCAGACUGAUCCAGGUCCAGACUGAUCCGAGUCCAGACUGAUCCGAGUCCAGACUGAUCCAGGUCCAGACUGAUCCAGGUCCAGACUGAUCCGGGUCCAGACUGAUCCGAGUCCAGACUGAUCCGAGUCCAGACUGAUCCAGGUCCAGACUGAUCCGGGUCCAGACUGAUCCAGGUCCAGACUGAUCCGAGUCCAGACUGAUCCAGGUCCAGACUGAUCCAGGUCCAGACUGAUCCAGGUCCAAACAGAUCCGGGUCCAGACUGAUCCGAGUCCAGACUGAUCCAGGUCCAGACUGAUCCAGGUCCAAACAGAUCCGGGUCCAGACUGAUCAGGGUCCAAACUGAUCCGAGUCCAGACUGAUCCGGGUCCAAACAGAUCCGGGUCCAGACUGAUCCGAGUCCAGACUGAUCAGGGUCCAAACUGAUCCAGGUCCAGACUGAUCUGAGUCCAGACUGAUCCAGGUCCAGACUGAUCCGAGUCCAGACUGAUCCAGGUCCAGACUGAUCCAGGUCCAGACUGAUCCAGGUCCAGACUGAUCCAGGUCCAGACUGAUCCAGGUCCAAACUGAUCCGAGUUCAGACUGAUCCGGGUCCAGACUGAUAUGAGUCCAGACUCAUCCAGGUCCAGACUGAUCCAGGUCCAGACUGAUCCGAGUCCAGACUGAUCCAGGUCCAGACUGAUCCAGGUCCAGACUGAUCCGAGUCCAGACUGAUCCAGGUCCAGACUGAUCUGAGUCCAGACUGAUCCGGGCCCAGACUGAUCUGAGUCCAGACUGACCCGAGUCCAGACUGAUCCAGGUCCAGACUGAUAUGAGUCCAAACUGAUCCGAGUCCAGACUGAUCCAGGUCCAGACUGAUCCGGGUCCAGACUGAUCCGAGUCCAGACUGAUCCAGGUCCAGACUGAUCUGAGUCCAGACUGAUCCAGGUCCAGACUGAUCCAGGUCCAAACU